rnacentral:rRNA from 1 species
CACGUAGGGCGCAAGCGUUGUCCGGAAUUAUUGGGCGUAAAGAGCUCGUAGGCGGUCUGUUGCGUCCGCUGUGAAAACUCGGGGCUUAACCCCGAGCCUGCAGUGGAUACGGGCAGACUAGAGGUAGGUAGGGGAGAAUGGAAUUCCUGGUGUAGCGGUGAAAUGCGCAGAUAUCAGGAAGAACACCCGUGGCGAAGGCGGCUCUCUGGUACGUGACUGACGCUGAGACGCGAAAGCGUGGGGAGCAAACAGG